UGUAUGUUCUAUUGAUCAUUAUGCUAGUUGUAUGUUUCUUCAACAUGCAUUAUAGAUUUGCAACUUUUUGCUGAUAUGGUGCCUAAAACAGUCAAUAAUUUUCGAGCACUCUGCACAGGUGUGUGUUGACUCUUAAAAAGACGUACAUCUACGUUGUUGUUACCAUAUUAUAGGUGUAGGGGUAAAGGGGAAGAGCACCACUGGAACACCAUUGCGUUACAAAGGAGUUAAAUUCCAUCGUAUAACAAAAGGCGCAUGGCUGGUUGCUUAUGUUUUGAAUGAGACAUGAGGAGAGAAUGUGGCUAGCUUCAAGUCACCACCAGAUAUUUGCUUUUAGUUGGGGUUGUACAACCUCUCACGACAUCCUCACUUCACUAACCACUUGAUUGUCUGAUGUGUAUCAUGUUCCCGCCUCAACGCGCGGAUUUCCUACUAGUUUUCCAUUAAACCAUGUCUAUUAUUGAUUUAUUUUAAAUUUUUAACAUAAAGACAUUAGACUUGACUUCCCUUUGAUUACUAUUUCUUAUUUUCCGUUAAACCAUGUCUAUUAUUGAUUUAUUUUAAUAUGUUCAUUACGCAUUAUGUAUGAAUCUUAUGAAACUUAAGUAUAAAGAAAAAACCCCUUUGAGUUUAGAAA